rnacentral:piRNA from 1 species
UGCCUUCAAGGAGUAAGGUGGUGGG